CUCUCUCUCUGCCCUUUCCCCCCUCACGCUCUGUCUCUCUCUCUCUCUCUCUCUCAAAAAUGAAUAAACAUUAAAAAAAAAUUUUUUUUAAAAAGGUUUAGCAGAGUUGGCACAUAUCAGAGAUCCCUCACUCUUAAACAUAUCUAACUCCUUUCUUUGGAGACAGCUUGAUUGAGGCAUAAAUUACAUACCAUCAAAUUCACUUAUUAUAUAUGUAUCAUCAUGUGAUUUUUAGUAAAUUUAUAGACUCAUGCAACCGUCACCACAUUCCAGUCUUAGAUCAUUUUAUCACACCAAAAAGUUUCACCGUGCUCUUUUUCAGGCAACCCUUGCUCCCUUCCCAGUCCCAGGCAACCACUGAUCUGCUUUCUGUCUCUAUAUAAUUUGCCUUUUCUGGGCAUUUCUUAUAAAUGGAAUCCCAUGCUAUGUAGUCUUUUGCAUCUGGCUGCUUUCACUUAGCACGAUGUGUUUGAGGUCCAUGCAUGCUGCGGCACAUAUCACUAGGUCGUUCAUUUUUAUUGCUGAAUAGUAUUCUAUCUAAAUUCCCUCAAAAGUCAUUUAUGUUUUCAGACAACACUAAACAGGAGGCAGGAGCCCUGGUCUCCUACCCUGUGUCUGAUUUUCUGAGUGGCCUCUGACCACUUGUGUUGGGCAUUCAUUUCUCCAUCCGUAAAAUGAAAAAAAAUCUACUCUGUAUUUUCCACGGAGUGCCCCUAGGACCAGCAUUCCAAAAUGUCGAUGUCUCUGAUCCCACAUUUAUUUACCCUCUCCCUGUUUGAAGACUUCCACCAUAUCCUAUGUUGUUAAGGAUAAGGAAUCUUCAUCUUUAAAAAGCCUGCCCUUCCGGAGGCAAAUCCGAUUCCCAGAUUGGGGAACGAAGAACGGAGGAGUCAAUGUCAUCCGGUCCGAAAGAAGGCGAGUGAGCGAGCGAGAGAAGUAAGCCGGAAGACAGGAAGCGGUGGGCCGCAGCAAAGGAUGAAAUGUGUCAGUCACGGUACCGAAGGCCAGAGACGGAAGCACUUAGACAUUUACCUGGAAAUUCAGAGACAGUCCCCCAGAUACCAAGGAAUACGAAGAGCCGUCUAUUCUCUGAACAACUGCUACUGAGAAUCAGGUUCGGGAGGGUAAAAACGGCGAUCUGGAGUUCCCAUUCUUGUUGGUAACCAUGGCAAAAACGCUCCGGGUGAGGGUCAAGGUGUCCUGGAACUAGGGCUGGACAGCACCUUCAAAACUAGAAUGCUUCUCUUGGCUCUGAGGAUGCCAGCCUUCUCCUAAUUCAGUAAUCAGCAGGACAACACCUCCCUGCUGAUCCUCUGAUCGGCCAGAAUUCCCCACAGCCUUUUGCUCACGGUACUCCCUCAGACUCCUGCAACUUUUAAGACUCCAGGCCCUAGGGGGACUGCUCGGAGAGUGGCUGUACCUCUGACUCACUCCUGUAGGAAAAGUGACUCCCAUUCUUUGAGUCCUCGUUUGUUUGUGACAACUGUGGACCUCCCCAAAGUAGGUUGGGAUCAAGGAACCGAGCAUUUGCUGUUGGAGCCCUCUGAGGCAACUAAGUCUCCUAUAGAGGAGAAACGAUUUAUUGAUCUGCUUUGCGUAAGUAAUCCUCCACUCUUGCUGUUUUUGAGUGCCUGCCUCUGACCGAAAGGCCCUGAAGGCAGGAGCCACAUCAUGUCUCAAUCGGAAUAGCGUCUAGCCCAGGACCAUUUCGGCAUACAGGCUUCAAGGCCUGCUGGGUUGUGAGUUCCAGGGUGGGGAGCAUGUCUCCGAAUAUCACGGUCAUUCCUUAGUGCCAAGCUCUGUGCCUGGCACAGAGUCGUUGUCUGGAUACAUUUGUGACGAGUAAAUUAAUGAAUGACAAUCACGUGGACAAGGACAAUGGGGGGGACAGUCACAAAGGUUUUGUUUUGUUUUUGCAAGCUGGAAGACGCUUUGUAAGGCAUCGGCAAGAUAUGUGUAGCAUCACCCAGCCUCCCCAAAGCCAUAGUUUCUCUCAGUGGAGGAAAGAGACAAGAGUUUAUCUUCAGAUGAGGUCUUUAUCCUCACCAUCAAGCCCGUGCCAGGAGAAGCUAUCUGUGAUAGAAAAGGGAAUAAGAGACAGCUGCUUGGGUGUGAUACCUGAGUAAGGAGCGGACGGGGAUCUCCUAUGCCGGCCUUCUCACUCCUUCAGCUAGGUCAGCUUGAAUGUCGUCUGCCAACAACUUAUCAAGAAGGACCAUGACUCUCUGGCCUCAGAAGAUCCAAUUCUCCAGCUACACCAUCUCUGCUAGCUCUUCUUCCACUGUCCGGGCCCUCAUUUUCUGGUACCUCGGCUUUAGAACAAAAGUUAAACACCACGUCCUUGAGACUGCCCACAUUACCCUUCUCUCCAAGGGAAGAAUGCAUCUUCCAAUACUGUGCCAUUUUAUCUUUAGAACAACUCUUCGAGGUUAAUGGAACAGAGGUGAUGCUUGCAUAGAGAAAGGAAGCCACCUGCCCAAAGUAUUUCAAGCUUCCUCAUCCCAGGGCUUUAACCUCUAACACAUCCUGUAUGGCUCAACCAAUAAAAAUCACUCAUCAUCUCCUAAAA